UACGUAGGGGGCAAGCGUUGUCCGGAUUUAUUGGGCGUAAAGAGCGUGUAGGCGGCCUGAAAGGUCAGCUGUGAAAACUCGAGGCUCAACCUCGAGACGUCGGUUGAAACCAUCUGGCUAGAGUCCGGAAGAGGAGUGUGGAAUUCCCGGUGUAGCGGUGAAAUGCGCAGAUAUCGGGAGGAACACCUGUGGCGAAAGCGGCGCACUGGACCACAACUGACGCUGGGGCGCGAAAGCUAGGGGAGCAAACAGG
rnacentral:rRNA from 1 species